rnacentral:piRNA from 1 species
AUCAGCUCUGGAUCCUCGGAGCCCUGGAU